CGAGUGGCUGAGAGCAGAGAAUCUGAGCACACCCAAAAAAUUGAGGAGCUGCCAAGAGCAGAGAAUCUGAAAGGGAAAGGCAGAGACGACAAUGAUAAGUUGCGAAGGGGAUGUGAUGGGAUUGUGAGGGAGGGGAGGGGAUGCAACUGGAAAAGGCGUAAUGCUAGGAUGCGACUUGCGACUCGAAAGUUGCGAGGGAAGGGAUGGGAUGCAUGCGAGUGACAGAGGCACGAGCCAUAAAGGGGACUGGGUCAGGGUGGGAAUCGGGAUGCAGUGUAGAUGACUGAGAAUCUGAGAUGAGUUGCUUGAGAUUGAGAAAGUUUAGGAUGGAAGACAUGAGAAUGAGUCAGGAAGGAGAAGGUUUCUUAAAGAAACCUGGGCUGGGCUUUGAAAAUGGACAGAGACAGGAGGCCUAGGUUUAUCUCAGGUUUAAUUAAAAUGGCCCCAUUUCAG
rnacentral:misc_RNA from 1 species